rnacentral:rRNA from 1 species
GUAUGGCUGUUCGCCAUUUAAAGUGGUACGCGAGCUGGGUUUAGAACGUCGUGAGACAGUUCGGUCCCUAUCUGCCGUGGGCGUUGGAAGAUUGAGAGGGGUUGCUCCUAGUACGAGAGGACCGGAGUGAACGCACCACUGGUGUACGGGUUGUGAUGCCAAUUGCAUUGCCCGGUAGCUAAGUGCGGAAGAGAUAACCGCUGAAAGCAUCUAAGCGGGAAACUUGCCUCGAGAUGAGUCUUCCCUGGACACUUGAUGUCCCUGAAGGGCCGUUGAAGACGACGACGUAGAUAGGCUGGGUGUGUAAGCGUAGCGAUACGUUGAGCUAACCAGUACUAAUGACCCGAGAGGCUUAACCUUACAACACCGAAGGUGUUU